AUUGAACGCUGGCGGCAGGCCUAACACAUGCAAGUCGAACGAGUGGCGGACGGGUGAGUAAUGUCUGGGAAACUGCCUGAUGGAGGGGGAUAACUACUGGAAACGGUAGCUAAUACCGCAUACCAUCAGAUGUUCCCAGAUGGGAUUAGCUUGUUGGUGGGGUAACGGCUCACCAAGGCGACGCUCCCUAGCUGGUCUGAGAGGAUGACCAGCCACACUGGAACUGAGACACGGUCCAGACUACGACGGGAGGCGGCAGUGGGGAAUAUUGCACAAUGGGCGCAAGGCUGAGGCAGCAAUGCCGCGUGUAUGAAGAAGGCCUUCGGGUUGGAAAGGACUGGCAGCGGGGAGGCGUUACCAGCAGAAGAAGCACCGGCUAACUCCGUGCCAGCCGCCGCGGUAAUAC
rnacentral:rRNA from 1 species